GAGGGUGACCGGCCACACUGGGACUGAGACACGGCCCAGACUCCUACGGGAGGCAGCAGUAGGGAAUUUUCGGCAAUGGGGGGAACCCUGACCGAGCAACGCCGCGUGAAGGAAGAAGGAAUUCGCUCUGUAAACUUCUCUUAUAAAGGAAGAACGGCGGAUAUAGGGAAUGGUAUCCGAGGACGGUACUUUAUGAGAAAGCC
rnacentral:rRNA from 1 species